AACGAACGCUGGCGGCAUGCCUAAUAUAUGCAAGUCGAACGAGAUCUUCGGAUCUAGUGGCGCACGGGUGCGUAACGCGUGGGAAUCUGCCCUUGGGUUCGGAAUAACAUCUGGAAACGGAUGCUAAUACCGGAUGAUGACGUAAGUCCAAAGAUUUAUCGCCCAAGGAUGAGCCCGCGUAGGAUUAGCUAGUUGGUGAGGUAAAGGCUCACCAAGGCUACGAUCCUUAGCUGGUCUGAGAGGAUGAUCAGCCACACUGGGACUGAGACACGGCCCAGACUCCUACGGGAGGCAGCAGUAGGGAAUAUUGGACAAUGGGGGCAACCCUGAUCCAGCAAUGCCGCGUGAGUGAUGAAGGCCUUAGGGUGUAAAGCUCUUUCGGCCGGGAAGAAAUCGCAUGGGUUAAUACCUGUGCGGAUGACGGUACCGGCAUAAGAAGCACCGGCUAACUACGUGCCAGCAGCCGCGGUAAGAGUGUGUGUACCG
rnacentral:rRNA from 1 species